GAUGACACCAGCGAUUAGUCGGUGUUAAUAUACGACCCGACUAGCAGCUUCCGGGAAACCAAAGUUUUUCGUUUCCGGGGGAAGUAUGGUUGCAAAGCUGAAACUUAAAGGAAUUGACGGAAGGGCACCACCAGGAGUGGAGCCUGCGGCUUAAUUUGACUCAACACGGGAAAACUCACCCGGCCCGGACACCGUAAGGAUUGACAGACUGAGAGCUCUUUCUUAAUUCGGUGGGUGGUGGUGCAUGGCCGUUCUUAGUUGGUGGAGCGAUUUGUCUGGUUAAUUCCGAUAACGAACGAGACUCUGGCCUAUUAAAUAGUCGGUAUAUCCAGAAAAGUUUACCGUACUUCUUAGAGGGACAAACGGCGUCUAGCCGCGUGAAAUAGAGCAAUAACAGGUCUGUGAUGCCCUUAGAUGUCCGGGGCCGCACGCGCGCUACACUGAAGUGGCCAUCGUGCUUAAGCAUUCCUGCUCCGAAAGGAGUGGGUAACCGCUUGAACCCAUUUCGUGAUGGGGAUUGGGCAUUGUAAUUAUUGCCCAUGAACGAGGAAUUCCCAGUAAGCGUGAGUCAUUAGCUUGCGUUGAUUACGUCCCUGCCCUUUGUACACACCGCCCGUCGCUACUACCGAUUGAAUGAUUUAGUGAGGACUUCGGACUGGUCAACCCAG
rnacentral:rRNA from 1 species